GGUUUCUAUUAGGAUUUCUAAUUCUGAUAAGAGGCGGUUCGAUUCCGUUUGUGUCUCU
rnacentral:tRNA from 1 species